rnacentral:rRNA from 1 species
UGUGUUGUAAGUGUUUUAGGGCGCAUGGUGGAUGCCUUGGCACUGGGAGCCGAUGAAGGACGUGGGAGA